rnacentral:rRNA from 1 species
UGGGGAAUAUUGGACAAUGGGCGAAAGCCUGAUCCAGCAAUGCCGCGUGAGUGAUGAAGGCCUUAGGGUUGUAAAGCUCUUUCGCACGCGACGAUGAUGACGGUAGCGUGAGAAGAAGCCCCGGCUAACUUCGUGCCAGCAGCCGCGGUAAUACGAAGGGGGCUAGCGUUGUUCGGAAUUACUGGGCGUAAAGGGCGCGUAGGCGGCUCGUCAAGUCAGGCGUGAAAUCCCCGAGCUUAACUUGGGAAUAGCGCUUGAGACUGGCGAGCUUGAGUCCGGGAGAGGUGAGUGGAAUUCCCAGUGUAGAGGUGAAAUUCGUAGAUAUUGGGAAGAACACCAGUGGCGAAGGCGGCUCACUGGACCGGCACUGACGCUGAGGCGCGAAAGCGUGGGGAGCAAACAGGAUUNGAUACCCUGGUAGUCCACGCCGUAAAACGAUGAGUGCUAGACGUUGGGGUCCUUAGGGGCUUCGGUGUCGCAGCUAACGCAUUAAGCACUCCGCCUGGGGAGUACGGCCGCAAGGUUGAAACU